GAUGAACGCUGGCGGCGUGCCUAAUACAUGCAAGUCGAGCGAACGGACGAGAAGCUUGCUUCUCUGAUGUUAGCGGCGGACGGGUGAGUAACACGUGGAUAACCUACCUAUAAGACUGGGAUAACUUCGGGAAACCGUAGCUAAUACCGGAUAAUAUUUUGAACCGCAUGGUUCAAAAGUGAAAGACGGUCUUGCUGUCACUUAUAGAUGGAUCCGCGCUGCAUUAGCUAGUUGGUAAGGUAACGGCUUACCAAGGCAACGAUGCAUAGCCGACCUGAGAGGGUGAUCGGCCACACUGGAACUGAGACACGGUCCAGACUCCUACGGGAGGCAGCAGUAGGGAAUCUUCCGCAAUGGGCGAAAGCCUGACGGAGCAACGCCGCGUGAGUGAUGAAGGUCUUCGGAUCGUAAAACGCUGUUAUUAGGGAAGAACAUAUGUGUAAGUAACUGUGCACAUCUUGACGGUACAUAAUCAGAAAGCCACGGCUAACUACGU
rnacentral:rRNA from 1 species